GCAAACUUGGUCAUUUAGAGGAAGUAAAAGUCGUAACAAGGUUUCCGUAGGUGAACCUGCGGAAGGAUCAUUCAUAAUAAAAGUGUGUUAUGGCGCUUUUAAAAUAUAUCCAUAUCCACCUUGUGUGCAAUGUUUUUUUUUUUUUAUUAUAAACACCUUUUUCUUUUAAUUGCCAAAUUUUUCUGAAGAUCAGUAUUAUUAUGAAUUAACUUAAUUCAAAAUAUAACUUUCAACAACGGAUCUCUUGGCUCUCGCAUCGAUGAAGAACGCAGC
rnacentral:misc_RNA from 1 species